rnacentral:rRNA from 1 species
GGACUACAAGGGUUUCUAAUCCUGUUUGCUCCCCUUGCUCUCGCGCCUCAGCGUCAGGUCUUACCUAGAGAACCGCUUUCGCCACCGGUGUUCUUCCACAUAUCUACGCAUUUCACCGCUACACGUGGAAUUCCGUUCUCUCCGACAACCCUCGAGAAAUAUAGUUUCAAAUGCAGCUCCGAAAUUGAGUUCCGGAAUUUCACAUCUGACUUAUAUCUCCGCCUACGCGCCCUUUACGCCCAAUAAUUCCGAUUAAUGCUUGCACCCUCCGUAUUACCGCGGCUGCUGGCAC